rnacentral:lncRNA from 1 species
UUAAAAUCUCUCAUUUGUGCAGCCAUUUCUCUCUCUCUUCCACUUUUGUCAUCCCCUUACUCUCCAUUCUCCCUCAUUCUACUUUCAUCUCUUUUCUUUGUUUUCACUCUUAUGUUUUUCUUUCUCUUUUUACUUUUCUGUCUUUAAUCCUAUAAUUUCAACUUUUUGUUUCUUUCAUUUUCUUCUUGUUGUCGUCCCUUGCCGCUAUUCUGCUGGCAUUUUAUCACCUAAUUCUUUUGCUAGUCGUGUGUGAUCAAAAUGUUGAGUAGGGUGUUGCAUUUCUCGAUAAGUGUUGUUUGUAAACUUUUCAACGGUGUAGUUAUUGUUUUUUCGAUGCUCGUGGAAGGUAAGUAUUCUAGUAAAUUGACAAUUGGAGUAUGUAUUGAUUAUCUUUGUGUUUCUA